GAUCUUAAUACCUGAAGUCUACUUACUACUGUAAGUCUACGUUAGAUCUUAGUUGGGAUCAAGUACAAGCUACUGUUUUUAUUUUUACAGAAAAAAAGGACAUCAUUUUUAAAAAUGGAUUAUAUAGAUAAAAUGGGAGAUGGCCUUUCUGUAAUUUGGAGCCUAUUUUGCUUUGCGCUCAGCUUGUCUGGCUUUUCAGGAUUCUGGGCUAUAAAAGAGAAAUAGCUGUGGAUUCCAAAAGCAGUGCCGAUCAUGCAUAUUUUACGCUUCCCUCUUUAUUUUAAUAGAAAUGCAUUUACGGUACUAUAGAUAAUAAAGAGCCUAAAGGCCACAGCCUCACAAGCUGCAAUUAAAUAUUUAUAGUUAAAAGCCUAUUACUUGCGCUCAUGUAAUGAGACAUCAUUAGUCCGUUUUUUAGAUGUAUAAUGCUGAAAUGUCAGCCAGUGCUCAUAACAUGCUGAUGUCAUUGUAGAAUUCAAGACAAUUAACGGCAGUCCCUACUGUGUUAUCCCUGUUCCCCACAAAGCUUCAUCUUCCCCGUCAUUGGGACAGAGUGAGGAAGAUGGGAGCUGUGUGUGUGCAGUAGGAUGAUGCUGAUUGCUCAGCCAAGGAGAGGAGAACAACGUCCCCAGGGCUCAGUGAGUCAGGGAAGCACUGUCGGCUGGGAAAGCUAGGGGAUUGCAAGUUGCAGCAUUGCUACAGGAACUGUCCGACGUCCUGAAACUGAACUCUUCCUUUCUUCUUUCCCUGGGAACUGCCUCUUUCUUAAAGCCUCCCUCUUCCCCAGUCCUUGGAUUCAAAACGGAAAUUGCAAAGCCUGGUGUAUGCUCCAGGUAAAGUACUCCGUUUUGAUGCCGGCCUUUUCCUUCUGUGUUCUCCUUUUACGUGCCCCAGCAAAGGACAUGGCGGUGAAAGGGCAGAUGACAGUCACGAGGGGGAGCCAGCAGACCUUAUGUGACUUGCAAGCUGUGUGCCUGUGAUGAUCCAGUCUCCCAGAGGAGGGAGAAAAGCGUAGCAGCAAAAAAAGCACAAGAGACCUCUAAAUAACCAGAGAGGCCAGGAGAGACUGGCUGGGAAGGUGAUCUGCCUGCUCAUCAAUGUAUAGGAGAGAGAAACUUGGGAAAGAUUUGGAGGAAGUGAAGAUACAGAACGCCAGCAAGCAGAUUGUAGAAACCGCCAUCCUGCAAGCUGUACAACAAGUAUAUCAGGAAGAUGAGAAAGAACAAAAUAAACCAAGCAGCAGAGCAGAGAGACAGUUACCAGACGGAAAAUGCAAUACAAAUAAUGAUAAGAAAUAAA